rnacentral:rRNA from 1 species
AUGUGAUCGUCUCUCGCAUAUCAAUAAGCGGAGGAAAAGAAACUAACAAGGAUUCCCCUAGUAACGGCGAGUGAAGCGGGAAGAGCUCAAAUUUGAAAUCUUAAAGGGUUUCCCUUUACGAAUUGUAGUUUAAAGAAGUGUUUUCUGUUGAGGUUUUGGUAAAAGUUCUUUGGAAUAGGACAUCAUAGAGGGUGAGAAUCCCGUAUCUUGACCUUUACUUUCAACUUUGUGAUACACUUUCAAAGAGUCGGAUUGUUUGGGAAUGCAGUCCAAAAUGGGUGGUAAAUUUCAUCUAAAGCUAAAUAUUGGCGAGAGACCGAUAGCGAACAAGUACCGUGAGGGAAAGAUGAAAAGAACUUUGAAAAGAGAGUUAAACAGUACGUGAAAUUGUCAAAAGGGAAGCGUUUGACACCAGCGUUGUUUUUCUGAAAAUCAAUUAAAGAACUGUUUAUGCUAAGCUGUUUAGACUUUAUCAGCUAUCUGUUUAGUUUUGAGCUUUUCUUUAAUGCACUUUUCAGUUAACAAGUCAACAUCAAUUUCUUUUGCUGUAAAAAAGCUUGAGGAAGGUGGCUUGAGAUUCGUCUUAAGUGUUUAUAGCCUCUUGCCUAUGCAGUCGGAGAGAUUGAGGUCUGCAGCGUAGAUCCUUCGGGGCUAAAUGCAUUUGUGCUAAGUUAUAGCAUUUUAUAGACAACUUGUUGACUAUGAUUUGUCUUGUAGCUUACUCGCUUAUGUUAUUUUACCUACGCUUAGGAUGUUGAGCGCAUGUCUCUCUCU